rnacentral:SRP_RNA from 16 species
GGAGAAGAUGUCCAUGCUGCACAAGAGUACGUACGGGCGCAGGCUCAAGGCGGAGCAGGCAAAGCGGGCGCAGACGAGAAGAAGGAAGGAG